UGGAGUGAGACAUCGAUUUGGCCAACUGACAACUAUGGCUAACAAAUAGGAAGACGCCAUGUGCCCUAUGUCGUUUGGCAGGCAACGAUUCGAUAUCUCUAGGGAUUGAUCUGUUGGUGCAAGAUUCUAUUUGACACGGAAUGCUAAAGCGGACGGCGAGAUGAGUCUUCCAGGGAUGUGAGCCACGCACCAGCUCGGGCCGC
rnacentral:lncRNA from 1 species